UACGAAGGGGGCUAGCGUUGCUCGGAAUCACUGGGCGUAAAGCGCACGUAGGCGGAUUGCUAAGUCAGGGGUGAAAUCCUGGAGCUCAACUCCAGAACUGCCUUUGAUACUGGCGAUCUUGAGUCCGAUAGAGGUGGGUGGAAUUCCUAGUGUAGAGGUGAAAUUCGUAGAUAUUAGGAAGAACACCGGUGGCGAAGGCGGCCCACUGGAUCGGUACUGACGCUGAGGUGCGAAAGCGUGGGGAGCAAACAGG
rnacentral:rRNA from 1 species